rnacentral:rRNA from 1 species
UACGUAGGGUGCGAGCGUUAAUCGGAAUUACUGGGCGUAAAGCGUGCGCAGGCGGUUUUGUAAGCCAGAUGUGAAAGCCCCGGGCUUAACCUGGGAAUGGCAUUUGGGACUGCAAGGCUGGAGUUUGGCAGAGGAGACUGGAAUUCCUGGUGUAGCAGUGAAAUGCGUAGAUAUCAGGAGGAAUACCGAUGGCGAAGGCAGGUCUCUGGGCUAUAACUGACGCUGAGGAGCGAAAGCAUGGGGAGCGAACAGG